rnacentral:rRNA from 1 species
CAGUCGCCGCGGGAAUACGAAGGGGGCUAGCGUUGCUCGGAAUCACUGGGCGUAAAGGGUGCGUAGGCGGGUUUCUAAGUCAGGGGUGAAAUCCUGGAGCUCAACUCCAGAACUGCCCUUGAUACUGGAAGUCUUGAGUACGGGAGAGGUGAGUGGAACUGCGAGUGUAGAGGUGAAAUUCGUAGAUAUUCGCAAGAACACCAGUGGCGAAGGCGGCUCACUGGCCCAUAACUGACGCUGAGGCACGAAAGCGUGGGGAGCAAACAGGAUUAGAUACCCCUGUAGUCCCUGUCUCUUAUAC